UGGGGGAUAUUGCACAAUGGGCGAAAGCCUGAUGCAGCGACGCCGCGUGGGGGAUGAAGGCCUUCGGGUUGUAAACUUCUUUUGCUCUGAACAAGGCAUGCUAAUGGGUGUGUUGAGUGUAGGGGUUGAUUAGCGCCGGCUAACUACGUGCCAGCAGCCGCGGUAAUACGUAGGGCGCGAGCGUUGUCCGGAAUUAUUGGGCGUAAAGGGCUUGUAGGUGGCUGGUUGCGUCUGUCGUGAAAGCUCAUGGCUUAACUGUGGGUUUGCGGUGGAUACGGGAUGGCUUGAGUGCAGUAGGGGAGGCUGGAAUUCCUGGUGUAGCGGUGGAAUGCGAAGAGAUCAGGAGGAAUACCGGUGGCGAAGGCGGGUCUCUGGGCUGUUACUGACACUGAGGAGCGAAAGCAUGGGGAGCGAACAGG
rnacentral:rRNA from 1 species